CCCCACAGCUGAAGGAGACACUUUCUCCAGCUCUCCUGGUCAGAGUUAAAUCACUCUGUAUCAGCUCUUCAGCCACAGUAAUCACUGUGGUAGAGACACAGACAGUCUACAAUGGGACUGCUGCACUGGUCAGUUCCCCCACAGCUGAAGGAGACACUUUCACCAGCUCUCCUGGUCAGAGUUAAAUCACUCUGUAUCAGCUCUUCAGCCAUAGUAACCAUCACUGUGGAGACACAGACAGAUUGUUGCUGCAGAAGCCUCCUAUUGGCCACGUAGCUUGCACAUUGGGCGACUCAGUUUGAUCGGUAUGUAACUUUGAUUUGUCACCAUCUCAG
ensembl:lncRNA